rnacentral:rRNA from 1 species
AACGGCCGUACCAUGCUGAAUAAACCGGUUCUCGUUAGAUCACCGAAGUCAAGCAUCAUUGGGCGCGGUCAGUACUUGGGUGGGUGACCACCUGGGAACACUGCGUGCCGUU